rnacentral:rRNA from 1 species
AUUGAACGCUGGCGGCAUGCCUUACACAUGCAAGUCGAACGGCAGCACGGGAGCAAUCCUGGUGGCGAGUGGCGAACGGGUGAGUAAUAUAUCGGAACGUGCCCAGUCGUGGGGGAUAACGUAGCGAAAGCUACGCUAAUACCGCAUACGAUCUACGGAUGAAAGCGGGGGAUCGCAAGACCUCGCGCGAUUGGAGCGGCCGAUAUCAGAUUAGGUAGUUGGUGAGGUAAAGGCUCACCAAGCCGACGAUCUGUAGCUGGUCUGAGAGGACGACCAGCCACACUGGGACUGAGACACGGCCCAGACUCCUACGGGAGGCAGCAGUGGGGAAUUUUGGACAAUGGGCGCAAGCCUGAUCCAGCAAUGCCGCGUGCAGGAUGAAGGCCUUCGGUUGUAACUAGCUUUGUUACGGAACGAACGGUGGAGCGUCUAAUACAGUUUG